rnacentral:rRNA from 1 species
CCUACGGGAGGCAGCAGUGGGGAAUAUUGCACAAUGGGGGAAACCCUGAUGCAGCGACGCCGCGUGAGUGAAGAAGUACUUCGUUAUGUAAAGCUCUAUCAGCAGGGAAGAAAAUGACGGUAGCUGAGUAAGAAGCCCCGGCGAACCACGUGCCAGCAGCCGCGGUAAUACGUAGGGGGCAAGCGUUAUCCGGAUUUACUGGGUGUAAGGGGAGCGUAGAGGGCAGUGCAAGUCUGGAGGGAAAGGCGGGGGCUCAACCCGCGAACUGCCCUUGAAACUGUACGGCUGGAGUGCAGGAGGGGUAAGUGGAAUUCCUAGUGUAGCGGUGAAAUGCGUAGAUAUUAGGAGGAACACCAGUGGCGAAGGCGGCUUACUGGACUGUAACUGACGUUGAGGCUCGAAAGCGUGGGGAGCAAACAGGAUUAGAUACCCUUGUAGUC